rnacentral:rRNA from 1 species
CAAGUCGAACGAAUCCUGGGGGGCAACCCCCGGGGGAAGUGGCGAAAGGGGCAGUAAGGCGUGGAUAACCUGCCCCCGGCUCCAGGAUAGCCCUCCUAACGGAGGGGUAAUACUGGGUAAGCUCGUCGGGAGACAUCUCCUGACGAGGAUAGCUCCGGCGGCCGGGGAGGGGUUCACGUGAUAUUAGCUAGUUGGUGGGGUGACGGCCCACCAAGGCCAAGAUGUCUAGCGGGUGUGAGAGCACGACCCGCGCCACUGGCACUGGGACACUGGCCAGACUCCUACGGGAGGCUGCAGUCGAGGAUCUUCGGCAAUGGGCGCAAGCCUGACCGAGCGACGCCGCGUGAGCGAUGAAGGCCUUCNGGUCGUAAAGCUCUGUCGGGGGGGAGAAAAGGGCGCAAGCCCUUGAUCGACCCCCGGAGGAAGCACGGGCUAAGUUCGUGCCAGCAGCCGCGGUAAGACGAACCGUGCGAACGUUAUUCGGAAUCACUGGGCUUAAAGGGCGCGUAGGCGGGUCCGUUAGUCAGGGGUGAAAUCCCACGGCCCAACCGUGGAAGUGCCUCUGAUACUGCGGGCCUCGAGGGGGGUAGGGGCGUGCGGAACUCAGGGUGGAGCGGUGAAAUGCGUAGAUAUCCUGACGAACACCGGUGGCGAAAGCGGCGCGCUGGAUCCCUUCUGACGCUGAGGCGCGAAAGCCAGGGGAGCAAACGGGAUUAGAUACAUUUAUGGUGUCCCCCAUGCCUGUAACGGCAUGGUGAGCAUCCAGCUAUAUGAGGGGGAAACCUCCCACGCGGAAGCAAU